UGAAAAGAGGGUUAAACAGCACGUGAAAUUGUUAAAAGGGAAGCGCUUGUGACCAGACUUGCGUCCGGUGAAUCACCCAGCUCUCGCGGCUGGGGCACUUCGCCGGCACAGGCCAGCAUCAGCUUGCCGUCGGGGACAAAAGCUUCAGGAACGUGGCUCCUCUCGGGGAGUGUUAUAGCCUGUUGCAUAAUACCCUUCGGCGGGCUGAGGUACGCGCUCCGCAAGGAUGCUGGCGUAAUGGUCAUCAGCGACCCGUCUUGAAACACGGACCAAGGAGUCAACCUUAUGUGCGAGUGUUUGGGUGUCAAACCCCUACGCGUAAUGAAAGUGAACGCAGGUGAGAGCUUCGGCGCAUCAUCGACCGAUCCUGAUGUUCUCGGAUGGAUUUGAGUAAGAGCAUAUAGGGUUGGACCCGAAAGAAGGUGAACUAUGCGUGUGUAGGGUGAAGCCAGAGGAAACUCUGGUGGAGGCUCGCAGCGGUUCUGACGUGCAAAUCGAUCGUCAAACAUGCGCAUGGGGGCGAAAGACUAAUCGAACCUUCUAGUAGCUGGUUUCCGCCGAAGUUUCCCUCAGGAUAGCAGUGUUGAGCUCAGUUUUAUGAGGUAAAGCGAAUGAUUAGGGACUCGGGGGCUAUUUUUUGCCUUCAUCCAUUCUCAAACUUUAAAUAUGUAAGAAGCCCUUGUUACUUAGUUGAACGUGGGCAUUCGAAUGUAUCAACACUAGUGGGCCAUUUUUGGUAAGCAGAACUGGCGAUGCGGGAUGAACCGAACGCGAGGUUAAGGUGCCAGAGUAGUCGCUCAUCAGACACCACAAAAGGUGUUAGUACAUCUUGACAGCAGGACGGUGGCCAUGGAA
rnacentral:rRNA from 1 species